rnacentral:misc_RNA from 1 species
GAUGAAGAACGUAGUGAAAUGCGAUAACUAGUGUGAAUUACAGAAUUCCGUGAAUCAUCGAGUCUUUGAACGCACAUUGCGCCCCCUGGUAUUCCGGGGGGCAUGCCUGUCCGAGCGUCAUUGCUGCCCAUCAAGCACGGCUUGUGUGUUGGGUCGUCGUCCCCCCCUCCGGGGGGGGACGGGCCCUAAAGGCAGCGGCGGCACCGCGUCCGAUCCUCGAGCGUAUGGGGCUUUGUCACCCGCUCUGUAGGCCCGGCCGGCGCUUGCCGAACGCAAAACAACCAUUCUUUCCAGGUUGACCUCGGAUCAGGUAGGGAUACCCGCUGAACUUAAGCAUAUCAAUAAGCGGAGGA